GCAGGGGUGGCCGAGCCUGGACAAAGGCGUGGGACUUGAAAUCCCAUGGGGCUCUGCCCCGCAAGGGUUCAAAUCCCUUCCCCUGCGCCA
rnacentral:tRNA from 1 species